rnacentral:lncRNA from 1 species
GGAUCUGAAGAGAGUAUUGAAAUCAUUGAAGGUAUGAUCACAAAAGAAAACUUCAAAAUCAGGAACUUGGGAAGCAAGACCAUGGGAUUGAAACUUAUGUUUCACAGCUUGAAUAACACUUUCCAUACAAAAAAAGGUGUUGGGUCCGACAGAACAUCCCAAAUCUGCUAUCUGAAAUGGGCUUGAAGUAGCAAGGAGAUCUUUUAUGUCAAGCUUGUGAGCAAUCGUCUCAUCAACCAGCCACUUUGCAUUUUUCACAGCUUCCCUCUGAAAAUAUAGAGGAAGAUCAAGUAUUAUUCAUGUCUCAACAUUAAAAGAAGAUUAAUCUCUCUUUAAUUUCAAUGAUUUUUUUACCUGAAAGGUUGAGUUUUUGGUGUAGCUGUAGGUGCCAUCUCCACCAUUCAUCGGAUGUGAUUCAGGCAUUGUGGCAGUGCUGUCGCUCAUCUCUCUUCUGUAUGUGCAAUGCCUCACGUUUUGGUACUUAUUUAUUCUCAUCAUCAUUCAUACUUUUCAAAUGUAACAUCAUGAAUUUUCACAACCUUAGUUUUGACAAUGAUCAAAAUUUGGGAUUGAAAUCUUGGAAAUUCAAAAUUUGCGACUUCAAGUAGUUUUACUAUCUUCAUAAAUCACGUGUGCUUUCUUUGACAAUUAUUUACAAGACAAGUCAGAGUAAAAAUGUGGGUUUUUUUCUUAUAUGAAAUGGUGUUUUAUUAGUUUCAACUCCACACAGAAUUUAGCAUGAAUAAAGCAAAUUAAGCAUAUUUAUUAUUGAAUUACUAGAAAUCACUGAUAACUAGUUGAAAAUUAUUUAUUUAUUAUACAUAUCACACAUAACAAGCACAAAAUUAAAUCAUUUGCGUUGAAGCACGUAGUAAGAUUGAAUUUUAUCCUUGUAAGCUCUUUCCAUCUUGUCGAAGACCUUGGGAAGUUGAUUUACCAGUAACUGAUCGAAUAUUUCAUCCACAAUUUCUUCUGAGAAGUGUUUGGAGAACAUUCCUUCCAUUGGAGCCCGGAUGUGCCUCACGUAUUCUUUCAUUUCAACAUGCACUGUAUCUUUUAGCCAAGGAGCUGGAUUUGUUA